CACAAGAUGAGAUGUCUCGCAUUCCAAACACCGAUCGAACAAUGAGCGAAACCAAAAUGAAACAAGAAUCACGCGUAAGCAAGCAGCCAUGCAGGCCUACAGGCAUGCAAAUAUGCAAUCACGCGCUAUUAUUCUGUAAGCUACAACGACGACACACUGGCCUGCACAUGCAUGUGCCCAUGCAUGCUCGAUCGAUGAGCUGAGCUCAUCAGGACUCCUGGCUUGGUAGCGGGCAGCAGCAUGUGUACAUCAACCGCUCCCGGCAGAACGCCUCCGUUUCAUCCCAGCGGCGUGACCAUUUCCCUGGUGUCUUGCAGGCUUUGAUGGCACGACGGGUGCAAUACUCGGUGGCAGCACCGCAAUUCUUGACGCAAGCCGGGGGCUCGGCUGCCACGGCGGCCGGACCCAUGGACGGCGACGAUGACAGGAGGAGGAGGAGCGUGAGGAAGACGGCGACGACGGCCAUCAUCCUUCUUAGCGUGGAGGCACCCGAGGAAGCCAUUGACGAUUGGCUCGUAUCAAGAGAAUAUUGGUGAAGCUGGCUUCUAGCUGGAUGC
rnacentral:lncRNA from 1 species